GACGAACGCUGGCGGCGUGCCUAAUACAUGCAAGUAGAACGCUGAAGGCGGACCUUGCUUCUCUGGAUGAGUUGCGAACGGGUGAGUAACGCGUAGGUAACCUGCCUUUUAGCUGGGGAUAACUAUUGGAAACGAUAGCUAAUACCGCAUAAGAGUAGCUGUUGCAUGACAUUUGCUUAAAAGUUUCAAUUGCAUCACUACCAGAUGGGCCUUCGUUGUAUUGGCUAGUUGGUGUGGUAACGCCUCACCAAGGCGAGGAUCCAUAGCAGAACUGAGAGGGUGAUAGGCCACACUGGGACGGAGACACGGCCCAGAGGCCUACGGGAGGCAGCAGGAGGGAAUCGGCGGCAAUGGACGGAAGUCUGACCGAGAAACGCGGAGUGAGGGAAGAGGGUCGCCGGAUCGUAAAGCUCUGUUGUAAGAGAAGAAAGAGUGUGAGCGUGGAAAGUUCAGAGUGUGACGGUAUCUGAUAAGAAAGGAACGGCUAACUACGUG
rnacentral:rRNA from 1 species